UACGUAGGGUGCAAGCGUUAAUCGGAAUUACUGGGCGUAAAGCGCACGUAGGCGGCUUUUUAAGUCAGGGGUGAAAUCCCGGGGCUCAACCCCGGAACUGCCCUUGAAACUGGAGAGCUAGAAUCUUGGAGAGGCGAGUGGAAUUCCGAGUGUAGAGGUGAAAUUCGUAGAUAUUCGGAAGAACACCAGUGGCGAAGGCGACUCGCUGGACAAGUAUUGACGCUGAGGUGCGAAAGCGUGGGGAGCAAACAGGG
rnacentral:rRNA from 1 species